AGAGUGAACGCUGGCGGCAGGCCUAACACAUGCAAGUCGAACGGCAGCACAGGAGAGCUUGCUCUCUGGGUGGCGAGUGGCGGACGGGUGAGGAAUACGUCGGAAUCUGCCUAUUUGUGGGGGAUAACGUAGGGAAACUUACGCUAAUACCGCAUACGACCUACGGGUGAAAGCGGAGGACCUUCGGGCUUCGCGCAGAUAGAUGAGCCGACGUCGGAUUAGCUAGGUUGGCGGGGUAAAGCCCACAAGGCGACGAUCCGUAGCUGGUCUGAGAGGAUGAUCAGCCACACUGGAACUGAGACACGGUCCAG
rnacentral:rRNA from 1 species